GGACUGGUUAGCUCAGUCAGUAGAGUGUAGCACUAACAACGCCAAGGUCACGGGUUCGAUUCCCAUUCGGUCCC
rfam:Apaloderma vittatum contig57816, whole genome shotgun sequence.